GACGAACGUUGGCGGCGUGCUUAAUACAUGCAAGUCAACUGAAGCAGUGGUAGCAAUAUCGCUGUGGAGGUGGCGCACGGGUGAGUAACACGUAGGUAAUCUGCCUUCAGGUCUGGCAUAACUCCGGGAAACCGGGGCUAAUAGCAGAUGAUGCAGCGGCUCGACAUCGAGACAGUUGUUAAAGCUAUGGCGCCUGAAGAUGAGCCUGCGUCUGAUUAGCUAGUUGGCAGGGUAACGGCCCACCAAGGCAACGAUCAGUAGCUGGUCUGAGAGGAUGAUCAGCCACACUGGAACUGAGACACGGUCCAGACUCCUACGGGAGGCAGCAGUAAGGAAUAUUGCUCAAUGGGAGAAAUCCUGAAGCAGCAACGCCGCGUGAGGGACGAAGGGCUUUUGCUUGUAAACCUCUGUAGUGAGAGAAAAAAAUCCCAAUCUUUGGGACAUGAUGGUAUCUCAAAAGUAAGCCCCGGCUAACUACGUG
rnacentral:rRNA from 1 species